CCUACGGGAGGCUGCAGUGAGGAAUAUUGGUCAAUGGACGAGAGUCUGAACCAGCCACGUAGCGUGAAGGAUGACUGCCCUAUGGGUUGUAAACUUCUUUUAUAUGGGAAUAAAACGUUCCACGUGUGGGAUUUUGUAUGUACCAUAUGAAUAAGGAUCGGCUAACUUCGUGCCAGCAGCCGCGGUAAUACGGAGGAUCCGAGCGUUAUCCGGAUUUAUUGGGUUUAAAGGGAGCGUAGGUGGAUUGUUAAGUCAGUUGUGAAAGUUUGCGGCUCAACCGUAAAAUUGCAGUUGAAACUGGCAGUCUUGAGUACAGUAGAGGUGGGCGGAAGUCGUGGUGUAGCGGUGAAAUGCUUAGAUAUCACGAAGAACUCCGAUUGCGAAGGCAGUUCACUGGACUGCAACUGACACUGAGGCUCGAAAGUGUGGGUAUCAAACAGGAUUAGAUACCCUGGUAGUC
rnacentral:rRNA from 1 species